UCCCCUACGGGAGGCAGCAGUGGGGAAUAUUGCACAAUGGGGGAAACCCUGAUGCAGCGACGCCGCGUGAGUGAAGAAGUAUUUCGGUAUGUAAAGCUCUAUCAGCAGGAACGAGACAAGACGGUACCUGACUAAGAAGCCCCGGCUAACUACGUGCCAGCAGCCGCGGUAAUACGUAGGGAGCAAGCGUUGUCCGGAAUUACUGGGUGUAAAGGGAGCGUAGGCGGGAUGGCAAGUUGGGUGUUAAAUCUACCGGCUCAACUGGUAGUCGCACUCAAAACUGCUAUUCUUGAGUGAAGUAGAGG
rnacentral:rRNA from 1 species